rnacentral:rRNA from 1 species
GCCACACUGGGACUGAGACACGGCCCAGACUCCUACGGGAGGCAGCAGUGGGGAAUCUUGCACAAUGGGCGAAAGCCUGAUGCAGCCACCCCGCGUGAGGGAUGACGGCCUUCGGGUUGUAAACCCCUUUAGGAGGGAACAAGCGUAAGUGACGGUCACCUGCAGAAGAAGCGCCGGCUAACUACGUGCCGAGCCGCGCGUCGAGUACGUAGGGCGCAAGCGUUGUCCGGAAUUAUUGGGCGUAAAGAGCUCGUAGGCGGCUUGUCGCGUCGGAGUGAAAACUCGGGGCUUAACCCCGAGGCUGCAUUCGUACGGGCUAGACUAGAAUGAGGUAGGGGAGAACGGAAUUCCUGGUGGAGCGGUGAAAUGCGCAGAUAUCUGGAGGAACACCGGUGGCGAAGGGCGGAUCUCUGGGGCGUUCCUGACGCUGAGGAGCGAAAGGUGGGGGGGCCAACAGGAUU